rnacentral:rRNA from 1 species
UUUAAAGUGGUACGCGAGCUGGGUUUAGAACGUCGUGAGACAGUUCGGUCCCUAUCUGCCGUGGGCGCUGGAGAAUUGAGGGGGGCUGCUCCUAGUACGAGAGGACCGGAGUGGACGCAUCACUGGUGUUCGGGUUGUCAUGCCAAUGGCAUGCCCGGUAGCUAAAUGCGGAAGAGAUAAGUGCUGAAAGCAUCUAAGCACGAAACUUGCCCCGAGAUGAGUUCUCCCUGAGACUAUAAGUCUCCUGAAGGAACGUUGAAGACGACGACGUUGAUAGGCCGGGUGUGUAAGCGCAGCGAUGCGUUGAGCUAACCGGUACUAAUGAACCGUGAGGCUUAACCUUACAACGCCGAAG